AAUAGAUACCCAGGUAGUCCACGCCGUAAACGAUGAGUGCUAGGUGUUAGGGGGUUCGCCCCUUAGUGCCGAAGUUAACACAUUAAGCACUCCGCCUGGGGGAGUACGGGUCGCAAGACUGAAACUCAAAGGAAUUGACGGGGGCCCGCACAAGCGGUGGAGCAUGUGGUUUAAUUCGAAGCAACGCGAAGAACCUUACUAGGGCUUGACAUCCCUCUGACACACCUAGAGAUAGGUGCUCCCUUCGGGACAGAGGUGGCAGGUGGUGCAUGGUUGUCGUCAGCUCGUGUCGUGAGAUGUUGGGUUAAGUCCCGCAACGAGCGCAACCCUUGUCCUUAGUUGCCAGCAUUGAGUUGGGCACUCUAGGGAGACUGCCGGUGACAAACCGGAGGAAGGUGGGGAUGACGUCAAAUCAUCAUGCCCCUUAUGUCCUGGGCUACACACGUGCUACAAUGGCUGGUACAAAGGGCAGCGAACCCGCGAGGGGGAGCCGAAUCCCAAAAAGCCAGUCACAGUUCGGAUUGUAGGCUGCAACUCGCCUA
rnacentral:rRNA from 1 species